UACGUAGGGACCAAGCGUUGUUCGGAUUUACUGGGCGUAAAGGGCGCGUAGGCGGCUUGACAAGUCACUUGUGAAAUCUCCGGGCUUAACUCGGAACGGCCAAGUGAAACUGUCAUGCUAGAGUGCAGAAGGGGCAAUCGGAAUUCUUGGUGUAGCGGUGAAAUGCGUAGAUAUCAAGAGGAACACCUGCGGCGAGGGCGGGUUGCUGGGCCGACACUGACGCUGAGGCGCGAAAGCUAGGGGAGCGAACGGG
rnacentral:rRNA from 1 species